rnacentral:rRNA from 1 species
ACGUAGGAUCCAAGCGUUGUCCGGAUUUACUGGGUGUAAAGGGUGCGCAGGCGGACUUAUAAGUUAGAGGUGAAAUCUCACGGCUCAACCGUGAAACUGCCUUUGAUACUGUAGGUCUUGAAUUGGGGAGAGAGAUGUGGAAUUCCGAGUGUAGCAGUGAAAUGUGUAGAUAUUCGGAAGAACACCAGUGGCGAAGGCAGCAUCUUGGCCCCACAUUGACGCUCAGGCACGAAAGCAUGGGGAUCAAACAGGAUUAGAUACCCUGGUAGUCCAUGCCCUAAACGAUGAUCACUUGAUGUCGGCCGCAAGGUCGGUGUCGAAGCUAACGCGAUAAGUGAUCCACCUGGGGAGUACGCUCGCAAGGGUG